AUUGAACGCUGGCGGCAUGCUUUACACAUGCAAGUCGAACGGUAACAGGCCGCAAGUUGCUGACGAGUGGCGAACGGGUGAGUAAUGCAUCGGAGCGUGCCCAGUCGUGGGGGAUAACUACUCGAAAGAGUAGCUAAUACCUCAUACGAUCUAUGGAUGAAAGCGGGGGACCGUAAGGCCUCGCGCGAUUUUAGCUGCCGAUGUCAGAUUAGGUAGUUGGUGGGGUAAAGGCUCACCAAGCCAACGAUCUGUAGCUGGUCUGAGAGGACGACCAGCCACACUGGGACUGAGACACGGCCCAGACUCCUACGGGAGGCAGCAGUGGGGAAUUUUGGACAAUGGGCGAAAGCCUGAUCCAGCAAUGCCGCGUGCAGGAAGAAGGCCUUCGGGUUGUAAACUGCUUUUGUACGGAACGAAACGGCGCUGGUUAAUACCCGGGGCUAAUGACGGUACCGGAAGAAUAAGCACCGGCUAACUACGUG
rnacentral:rRNA from 1 species